rnacentral:rRNA from 1 species
AAAUUGAAGAGUUUGAUCAUGGCUCAGGUUGAACGCUGGCGGCAGGCCUAACACAUGCAAGUCGAGCGGUAGCACAGAG